rnacentral:tRNA from 1 species
AAAAUUCUAGUAAAAUUUAUUACCUUGUCUUGUCAGGACAAAAUUGUGAGUUAAAAUCUCACGUAUUUUA